rnacentral:rRNA from 1 species
UACGUAGGGUGCGAGCGUUGUCCUGAAUUACUGGGCGUAAAGAGCUCGUAGGUGGUUUGUCGCGUUGUUCGUGAAAACCGGGGGCUUAACUCUCGGCGUGCGGGCGAUACGGGCAGACUGGAGUACUGCAGGGGAGACUGGAAUUCCUGGUGUAGCGGUGGAAUGCGCAGAUAUCAGGAGGAACACCGGUGGCGAAGGCGGGUCUCUGGGCAGUAACUGACGCUGAGGAGCGAAAGCGUGGGGAGCGAACAGG